rnacentral:rRNA from 1 species
ACGGGUGAGUAAUGUCUGGGGAUCUGCCCGAUAGAGGGGGAUAACCACUGGAAACGGUGGCUAAUACCGCAUAACGUCGCAAGACCAAAGAGGGGGACCUUCGGGCCUCUCACUAUCGGAUGAACCCAGAUGGGAUUAGCUAGUAGGCGGGGUAAUGGCCCACCUAGGCGACGAUCCCUAGCUGGUCUGAGAGGAUGACCAGCCACACUGGAACUGAGACACGGUCCAGACUCCUACGGGAGGCAGCAGUGGGGAAUAUUGCACAAUGGGCGCAAGCCUGAUGCAGCCAUGCCGCGUGUAUGAAGAAGGCCUUCGGGUUGUAAAGUACUUUCAGCGGGGAGGAAGGCGAUGGGGUUAAUAACCUUAUCGAUUGACGUUACCCGCAGAAGAAGCACCGGCUAACUCCGUGCCAGCAGCCGCGGUAAUACGGAGGGUGCAAGCGUUAAUCGGAAUUACUGGGCGUAAAGCGCACGCAGGCGGUCUGUUAAGUCAGAUGUGAAAUCCCCGGGCUUAACCUGGGAACUGCAUUUGAAACUGGCAGGCUUGAGUCUUGUAGAGGGGGGUAGAAUUCCAGGUG